UGCCACUGCCGCUUACUAGUUGUGUGGCCUUGGGGAAAUUACUGCAUCCUCAGCUCAGCUUCCUCACCAUAAAAGGAAUAUAAAAACUGAUGCCAAAAGCUCAACCUCUCUGCACACCGGUGCCGAUUCAAAUCUCAGAGACAAGAGUGAAGUAGAGAAGGAUAGUUUUAUUACUUUGCCAGGCACAGGGGAAUACAGCAGGUGCCUGCCUCAGAAAACUAUGUGUCCCCCCACAUGGAAAGGACAGUGAGAAGUUUUAUAGUAAUGCUUCAAAGAGGGCCUGUGAUCAGCUCGUGGAUGCUCUUCUGAUGUGUUGGUGGUGAGAAUUUUGUUGUUUCCUGUCAAACCUCAACAUGAAUCAGCCACAGUGAGCAGCCGCUGCUCCUUACCUUGGACGAGGGGUAUCUCCUCACUGCCACCCCUCCUGACCUUGAAAGUGGAAUAGCUCCUCUAGGCCCUCCUGCACCCGCACAGCCACCGCUCCUUGGACGUGGAGUAGCUCCUCCUGGCCGCCACCCCUGAUGUCGGACUGGGGUUGCUCCUCUCGGCCAUUCCUGUGCUGUCGCAGCCUGGCACUCUCAGCCGCUGCCCCUGACCUCGGACGUGGGGUAACUCCUCUUGGCCACCGCCCCUCAGGCAUGGGGUCCUCCAGGCUUCUGCCCCUGACCUCGGACGUGGGGUAGCUCCUCUCCGCCGCGCUAAGUGCACUGGUUGCAGCCGGCAGACAUCCUGGAAUGUGAAGUCAAGUGGGUCUUAGAAAGCAUCACUACGAACAAAGCUAGUGGAGGUGAUGGAAUUCCAGUUGAGCUCUUUCAAAUCCUGAAAGAUGAUGCUGUGAAAGUGCUGCACUCAAUAUGCC
ensembl:lncRNA